UACGAAGGGUGCAAGCGUUAAUCGGAAUUACUGGGCGUAAAGAGCUCGUAGGCGGUCUGUCGCGUCGAAUGUGAAAACCCGGGGCUCAACCCCGGGCCUGCAUUCGAUACGGGCAGACUAGAGUUCGGUAGGGGAGUCUGGAAUUCCUGGUGUAGCGGUGAAAUGCGCAGAUAUCAGGAGGAACACCGGUGGCGAAGGCGGGACUCUGGGCCGAUACUGACGCUGAGGAGCGAAAGCGUGGGGAGCAAACAGG
rnacentral:rRNA from 1 species